GAGAGCUCCUGUGGGGUGGUGGAACAGGAGGGACAGCAUUGCUCUGGAGAUGCCCCAGAGAUUAGAGGCUCUGGGCCUGACUCAGGCCCAUGUGACUCACCUGAACAGCUGUAUUCCCAUGGAAGAUGUGGAAAGCUCUGGAGCUGACUGUCCCCAGCCCUCAGCUCCGGGUCUGUUGGAUGCUCUCGCUCCCUGCCACCCGCCCAGGCAGUGUCACACGCAGCUGGGACUCACACACUGCUCAGUGAGCUGGACACAGAGCCAAUCCGAGCUCAGGCUGAGCAACUUGACUUCCAUCAAUGCUUCAGGUUUCAGUUUUUCCUCUUUCUCUCUUUUGCUGUCCUCCCCAGGGCUGUGUGCCUGUGAUUCUCAGUACCACACGCACCCCAACAAACCCAAGGUGUAUUAACGCAGGCAGAAGGUGAAAUCCAAGUGGAAGAAACAGUCCACAGAACAAAUGCCAUGGUAUUUGGAUUGCCCAAGGGCUAAGCCAGGUGUAUUUUUCCCUGGGGAGCACCUGUUGGUGGCAAUGCUGGCUGACUGUACAGCACCGGCAGCCCGGGUGCUGGGAGCUGCAAGCAAAAAGCCAUGGAUGUGAUUCCAGAGGGACAUGAACACGUGCUGCAGGAAAGAUCUGGAUUCUGACACUUCCAUGUAUCACCUCUUCACCGUGCUGGGAUUGCAGGCCAGUUACAGCUGUUGAAUGGCAGCAACUGCUUUUUCAUUCUGUUCUUCAGAAAUAGAAACAUUCUUGAAUAGAAA